rnacentral:rRNA from 1 species
CGUAAUCCGGGUUGCGGACAGUGUCUGGUGGGUAGUUUGACUGGGGCGGUCUCCUCCUAAAGAGUAACGGAGGAGCACGAAGGUUGGCUAAUCCUGGUCGGACAUCAGGAGGUUAGUGCAAUGGCAUAAGCCAGCUUGACUGCGAGCGUGACGGCGCGAGCAGGUGCGAAAGCAGGUCAUAGUGAUCCGGUGGUUCUGAAUGGAAGGGCCAUCGCUCAACGGAUAAAAGGUACUCCGGGGAUAACAGGCUGAUACCGCCCAAGAGUUCAUAUCGACGGCGGUGUUUGGCACCUCGAUGUCGGCUCAUCACAUCCUGGGGCUGAAGUAGGUCCCAAGGGUAUGGCUGUUCGCCAUUUAAAGUGGUACGCGAGCUGGGUUUAGAACGUCGUGAGACAGUUCGGUCCCUAUCUGCCGUGGGCGCUGGAGAACUGAGGGGGGCUGCUCCUAGUACGAGAGGACCGGAGUGGACGCAUCACUGGUGUUCGGGUUGUCAUGCC